CGGCAUGGCUGAUGCUACCAUGCAGUCGAGCGGAACGAGUUAUCUGAACCUUCGGGGGACGAUAACGGCGUCGAGCGGCGGACGGGUGAGUAAUGCCUAGGAAAUUGCCCUGAUGUGGGGGAUAACCAUUGGAAACGAUGGCUAAUACCGCAUGAUGCCUACGGGCCAAAGAGGGGGACCUUCGGGCCUCUCGCGUCAGGAUAUGCCUAGGUGGGAUUAGCUAGUUGGUGAGGUAAGGGCUCACCAAGGCGACGAUCCCUAGCUGGUCUGAGAGGAUGAUCAGCCACACUGGAACUGAGACACGGUCCAGACUCCUACGGGAGGCAGCAGUGGGGAAUAUUGCACAAUGGGCGCAAGCCUGAUGCAGCCAUGCCGCGUGUGUGAAGAAGGCCUUCGGGUUGUAAAGCACUUUCAGUCGUGAGGAAGGUAGUGUAGUUAAUAGCUGCAUUAUUUGACGUUAGCGACAGAAGAAGCACCGGCUAACUCCGUGCCAGCAGCCGCGGUAAUACGGAGGGUGCGAGCGUUAAUCGGAAUUACUGGGCGUAAAGCGCAUGCAGGUGGUUUGUUAAGUCAGAUGUGAAAGCCCGGGGCUCAACCUCGGAAUUGCAUUUGAAACUGGCAGACUAGAGUACUGUAGAGGGGGGUAGAAUUUCAGGUGUAGCGGUGAAAUGCGUAGAGAUCUGAAGGAAUACCGGUGGCGAAGGCGGCCCCCUGGACAGAUACUGACACUCAGAUGCGAAAGCGUGGGGAGCAACAGGAUUAGAUACCCUGGUAGUCCACGCCGUAAACGAUGUCUACUUGGAGGUUGUGGCCUUGAGCCGUGGCUUUCGGAGCUAACGCGUUAAGUAGACCGCCUGGGGAGUACGGUCGCAAGAUUAAAACUCAAAUGAAUUGACGGGGGCCCGCACAAGCGGUGGAGCAUGUGGUUUAAUUCGAUGCAACGCGAAGAACCUUACCUACUCUUGACAUCCAGAGAACUUUCCAGAGAUGGAUUGGUGCCUUCGGGAACUCUGAGACAGGUGCUGCAUGGCUGUCGUCAGCUCGUGUUGUGAAAUGUUGGGUUAAGUCCCGCAACGAGCGCAACCCUUAUCCUUGUUUGCCAGCGAGUAAUGUCGGGAACUCCAGGGAGAA
rnacentral:rRNA from 1 species